UCCACCUUCCUCCUCGAGAUCCAACUGGCAGCACCUCUUCGAUAUGCUAGACUGUCAUCAGACUCAAGUCGUCACGACUUGAUCGAGUCGAUGCUCGUCUAAAUACCUUUGAUGUUCGAUUGCGUCGUAUGGAGGAUCACUGUGGCAUUGCUUCUUGACUACAUCCUACUCCUUGAACUAGUGGUGAUGAUCGAGAAUCUGUUGGAGCUAGCAGAGGAGGUGUUGGGCCUGCAUUUUGAGUAGCUCCUUAUGUCUUU
rnacentral:lncRNA from 1 species